rfam:Ictidomys tridecemlineatus contig003591, whole genome shotgun sequence.
UGGCAUGUAGCUUAGUUGUAAAGCACUUGUUUAGCGUGAACAAGGACCUGGGUUCAAUUUCCAGCACUCCAA